UACGUAGGUGGCAAGCGUUGUCCGGAUUUACUGGGCGUAAAGAGCGCGCAGGCGGUCGUUCAAGUCGGGUGUGAAAGCCCCCGGCUCAACUGGGGAGGGUCACGCGAUACUGAUCGACUCGAAGGCAGGAGAGGGAAGUGGAAUUCCUGGUGUAGCGGUGGAAUGCGCAGAUAUCAGGAGGAACACCGAUGGCGAAGGCAGUUCUCUGGGCCGUAACUGACGCUGAGGAGCGAAAGCGUGGGGAGCGAACAGG
rnacentral:rRNA from 1 species